rnacentral:rRNA from 1 species
AUUGAACGCUGGCGGCAGGCCUAACACAUGCAAGUCGAACGGUAGCACAGAGAGCUUGCUCUCGGGUGACGAGUGGCGGACAGGUGAGUAACGUCUGGGAAACUGCCCGAUGGAGGGGGAUAACUACUGGAAACGGUAGCUAAUACCGCAUAACGUCGCAAGACCAAAGUGGGGGACCUUCGGGCCUCACACCAUCGGAUGUGCCCAGAUGGGAUUAGCUAGUAGGUGGGGUAAUGGCUCACCUAGGCGACGAUCCCUAGCUGGUCUGAGAGGAUGAACAGCCACACUGGAACUGAGACACGGUCCAGACUCCUACGGGAGGCAGCAGUGGGGAAUAUUGCACAAUGGGCGCAAGCCUGAUGCAGCCAUGCCGCGUGUAUGAAGAAGGCCUUCGGGUUGUAAAGUACUUUCAGCGGGGAGGAAGGCGGUGAAGUUAAUAGCUUCACCGAUUGACGUUACCCGCAGAAGAAGCACCGGCUAACUCCGUGCCAGCCGCCGCGGUAA